rnacentral:rRNA from 1 species
AUUGAACGCUGGCGGCAGGCCUAACACAUGCAAGUCGAACGAGUGGCGGACGGGUGAGUAAUGUCUGGGAACCUGCCUGAUGGAGGGGGAUAACUACUGGAAACGGUAGCUAAUACCGCAUACCAUCGGAUGUGCCCAGAUGGGAUUAGCUAGUAGGUGGGGUAAAGGUGCACCUAGGCGACGAUCCCUAGCUGGUCUGAGAGGAUGACCAGCGACAGUGGAACUUAGACACGGGCCAGACUCCUACGGGAGGCAGCAGGGGGGAAUAGUGGAAAAUGGGCGCAAGCCUGAUGCAGCCAUGCGGCGGGUAUGAAGAAGGUGUUCGGGUUGUGAAGUACUUUCAGCGGGGAGGCGUUACCCGGAGAAGAAGCACCGGCUAACUCCGUGCCAGCAGCCGCGGUAAUAC